UUACAGUUAAAAAGCCAUUACCGCAGAAUGUAAAAGUCACUUUAAAUAUCCUAUAAAACAGUGUAUUUCUUCCUUCAAACAUGCUAGUUCUACUCUGCUGCCAACAAAUUUACUCUGCAAUAAAUAUAGUUAACAGAGAAAAUAAAAAUAACUUUAGUGCUUCACAAGUUAUAGCUACAAAGGAGUUCCUUUCGGUUUGUAUCUGAGCCUUGGAUUUCAACUGGGCUCUGGUUUGUCCAUAGAAAGUUAGUCUGUGUUCCUUGGAAUAGGGUGAAGUGCAAAUGCUCUUCUGUUCUCAUGUUGAAGAGUAAGAAGGACAAUUUAAAAAAGCAGUCAUGCAGUUUGUUGCAGUCACAAAACUAUACCUCAUAGGAAAGCAUCUCUGAGAUCAGGAAAGGCUUUCCAGCUGCAAACUGACUCAAAGUUCAUAAAGUUCUGUAUAGUACUUAAGCAUUAUAGUGAGGGGAAAAAAUACCAACACACACAUACACACAAAAUAUUUUCCCAACAAUAAAAUUCCUUUACGUUUCAGUUACUGCUACCUUGUCCCUUCUGAUUUAAUGCAAAUGAUUACUGUUUCCUUUAGAGGUGUUUGAGUACUUAUUAUAUUCUGACUAAGAAGAUAAAUAUUGAAUAUUCUCUGUAGCCAGUCCCCCUGCUCCCUGCUUCCUGUCUUUUGUGCUCUCCUGGAAUCCUUUCAUUGUGCCCUGACAGUUACUCACACUCUUUGUUUCAGAUUGUUUCCCUCUGGGUGGAUCAGUUUAUGCUUUUCCACUGUGAAUUUAAUCUUAAUUCUCCUCUGUAGAUCUGAUGCUGAAAUACUCUGUGCAGCUGCUACUGCAAGUGGUAUUGCUGCACUCAGCUGAUCUGUACAUGUGAGUAAUGGCCAUCUGGAGGAUUCUAACCUUUGCAUUUGGUUCUUUGUAUGUUCUUCCCCUACCUUGCAUGGGUAGCCUGACUUGACUCAACUUCUGCUUCUAAUUCACUACUGAGUGCUUCGCUGUUGACUUCACGACAUUUCCUGCUUUUGUGUACUUUUCUGGUGCUAUGAUACAAAAUGACGUUUUAUGGACUGCAACUGGACCUCAUAAAUAACACAUAAAGCAGAGAAAGGAAGCUAAUUCUGUGAUUUCAUCUCUCAUUUGGAUUGGUCAGCAGUUUGGCAAUGUAAGCUUGGAAUCCUGCCACCGCGUCCUUUUUGGAACAACAAUGUGACUUUCAUUCUGAAUUUCAGCCUGACAAUAUAAAUGAUCUCAUGAAGAAGUGGACUUCUCACACCUUAUUGAGAGACUGCUGAAGAGGGACUGUUCAUCUGGCAGAGAAAUAAAUUAUGUGGACUGAAUGGAAAUAUUCAAAGAUCAUAGGGAGCUGAGGUAAAUUUUUUCUUCAUAUAUCAUAUGUACAACGUUAUUUAAAAGUCUUUGGAGAUAAAUACUGUAGAGAAACUGGGAUCUUAAAGCACGGACUCUUACAUGUUGUAGAGGAAACUACCUUUAGCAGAGAGUGACUUUUAAUUUAAAAUCGUGCAGGAGGGAGGGAGACCUGAUAGUUCUCUGAUCCAGAGUCCCAGAGGUUACUGAGCAGUAUUUCAUUUUCCUUUUCUUUCUUACACAAAAGAUCAUGUUGAGACUUAUCGGGAGUUCUAUUUGUUGCAUAAAAAAUGAAAAGCCCACUUUUCCUAGCUAGCAUGCUGAAUAUGGUGUAAGACUGGUUUUGAAUAACGUACUGCCUAAUUGUAAGAUGACAAAGAGGGAAAGAAUCUGUUAAUCAUGCAUAAUAAUCUUGCAAUGGGAAAAUUUGCUCCUGUAUUCCUAUGAGGCUAAAGUUGUAGGAUAACAGCCUGGAGCAUCAUUUAGAAUUCACAAAUUCCCCUGCAAGCAAAAACCAAAUGGAGCUUCUCUAUGUAUGCUUCAAGGUUCCCUGAAGCAAUUCUGAGACUGCAGAUCAUUCAGUUGCACACCUAGACCCUUUCCCAAAAGGACUCCAAAGUCACCACUUCAGACAUGCAGUAGGUCUGGUUGGUUAAUUGUACAAUGGAAAAUAUACUCUUGAAACCUAAAAAUCAAAAUGAUUUUUUAGGUGAAGGAACCAUUCAGCUUCUGGGCAGCUCUAGGAGCACCCUUCUUCAUUGCUUGAUUUAGGAUUGUACACUUAUAUAGAACACUGAGCUAACGGUGAUAUAAGCUUAAUUUGGAUGAAUACAUGCAGACAAUGAGAGCGAACUGUGGCAUUCGCAGUUCCACAGGUGUCAAACACAUGUCAAGUUCCUGUCCAAAACAUCCUCCUUCUGCCUUGUAGACACAGCAGAAUCAGGACAGCUGUGCUUUGAAUAAGUUGUUUGCAAACAGCAGGCCUUCAGACACACUGCUCACCGCAAAGUCAGCACAGUGCAGGGACUGAUGUGCACUGCCUGGCAUGCAGCACACUGUCAGUGCUUAGCCUGCAAUGGUAAAUAAGAAUGGGAUUUUUCAAAGCUGGGAAAAAAAAAUUCCAAGCUUCCUAUUUGACACAUCUGUAAAAACUGGGACUGUGGAUUUCUGGGAUGUCAACAAAAUAACUCUCAGAAAGUUCCCUCAGUCGCAGAUAACCUUUCCUGUUUCCUCAAGAAGUGCUUACAUCAUCAUCAUAAGUCUCAGCAUCACAUAGUGCUGAGCCACCUGCAAUCUGGCCACUGCCAGGAUAAACAAUGCUAUCUGCACCAUGUGGGCUAUAGGCAGUGAUGCUUCUUACAGAUAGCUCAAAUACAGUCACUGAAAGCCCUCUGCUUUAGAAGACAAACAGGACCAAUAUGUGUUCUGCGAUUAACAGAACUCGUCCUCUAGUAACACCUUAGUCAAUGAAGGAGCAGUAAAAGCCAACUUCUGUGAACCAUGUGCUUUAUAGCCGUAUCAAAGGAACUAGGCCCAGUGGGAUUAUUUGUAACAUGGAAUAAAUUCAUUCAUUUUCAAAGUGGGAUGAAUAUCUGACUUGUCAGUGGCAGAAUCAGUCAUAAUACCUGGAUUCUGCCUUACCUGCACAGGCUUUCCUUUCCUUCUAAUUUAAUGUAAAGGUGAUGAAGUCAACAAAAAUUUUACUCAAGUUUGCAGUACUUGGUAUAACCUGAAAUUGGGUUCUUUCCAUUAGCUCCAAUGAAUCUCACAAGGACUCCUAUGUCUGGUGGUGCAAACAUUUGUGAAAACCUUUCCAUUUUGAUGUUCAGCACCUGAACCUCUUGGACUAUGACAACUAAGCUGUAGGAGGGCUGUACAAGGUUAACUGAUUCUGGGAGAUACAAUAACUGUGCUUGCUGUCUCCCAGCUGAGCUCUUCAAACCAAACAAGAAGGCUCAGAAAAGACUCCUUGGCUCUGAAACACUGCGUCUUUGUGAGCUCAUCUUGUUCUGUGUUGAGGAAGUAAGUUACUUUUUUUAUCUUUAACUCCUCCUCUGGCCUCCCAGCUUCUAUUUCAAUAGUGUCACAUUGUGCAUUUCUUGCAGGAUCUAAUGAGCUUUUAGAGUGAGAAAGAGACAGGAGUUUGGGGAGUAGAAAGCCUGCGGGAGGUUGCUGAAAGCUGUGUCACCAAGACUGUGGUUUCCUUGGAGGUUGUGGCUGGUAAUUCUGAAGUACACUAUCCCAAGAGCUGGCAAACUGCACCUAUUUGGUCCACUGCUACCCUUAACAUGUGGGACUAUUCCUCUGGUUGUCUUGGUCAGCUAUUCCCUCUUGUCAGUGGUCCAACAAGGAUGAUCACAGAGGCUGGAAAGGACCACUAUGGCCAUCUCAUCCAAUGAUCAACCUAUUGCCUCCAUGUCCACUAACCAUGUCCCCCAGUGCCUCUUCUUGAGCACUUCCAGGGACGGUGACUCCACCACCUCCCUGGGCAGCACUGGUGGAUUCACACAGAUGGCUGCAUGGGAGGGUGCCAAGGGGCUGCUUGCUUGGUUCUGGUUCAGUGUGGAAAACUUGCUCCUAUGCUGUUAGAUCAGUGGCAUGGGACCAAGGCAUUGGGAAGAAUGGCUUGGUGAGAUGAAUGCUUUUUGCACCCCAUUUAUUUGUCUCUGGAAGAGCAGUGGCAGAAGGGCUGGAGGAGAGCUCAGGCCAAAACAAAUAAAUAAAGGGCGGGAAAAAUAUCCCAUUUUCAAAGUUACACCUCCUGAGGGUUUCUUUAUCUGAACACUGGAAAAUGAUCCAAUAACAAGGCAGAUAAUAAGAAGGAGGAUAUUUAAAGGAGGAUAUUUUUUUAAAAAUCUCAGAAAAUAGAAUUAAGUGGUUUGGAAAACCCAAAAUAACCAUACUUUUUAUUUAGUUAUUUAUUUUUUAAAUGUGGGAAAAAAAUGUGUUUGGGUUAACUCAUUUUUUUUUUUCCCCUUUAAAUUGUUAUUGGUAAAAUAGUAAACCAAAGCCCAAACAUUUGCUUUGUUCCACUCGGGAAAUCUGGUUUUAAUUUUCUAUUCUGCUGAGGGUAUUUUGCGAGACCUGGGGCAAAUCACUUAGCUUCAGUUUCCAAUUAACUGAGGCUAUCAUUAUGAUGUCAAAACAUGAAAUAUUUUAAGUUGCUUAGGUAUUACUGCAGUGGGAGUGCUGACAGUUCUUAGAUACCAGACUAGUCAUGUAAUUUUAAAACCGGAUUCUAACUGAGCUUGAAAUAUUGCUAGGGGAGUUGUAGCUGAGCCUCUCUAGUCCAGGCUGAGCCCUUUUGACUGGCAGGAAUCCCAUGCAAAUAUGUUCAUCCUGGGUUCCAAGUCUGAAUGAUUUGAAUUAAGAAUUCAAAUGUUUGGAAUUAAGUUCCAAGACAUGCUAGCUUCUAGAGGAAUAGCAGGUAAAGAUCUACCUACAGUGUGGGUAGAUGAGGCUCUGUUACACAUCUCAUAUCAUCUAUCACUUUGAAUUGUCUCUGAACUUCUAAACUCUGUCACUGCCUGACUAUAGCACUGCAGGUACACUGCUGACACCUAGAUAGAAGUGAGCAGUGCCCAAUACCAGCUCACACAACUGCAUUUCUUUCCUUUCAACUGAUUUACCUACAGCAGUAACACAUCUGGAUGAGCCAUAAUAUGAGAUCUACUUGGAAUUCAGGUUUUGUGAUGCCUUGAAGCUAGGCUAGCUUAUGCUUGGCUAGCUUAUUCCAUGCUUGGCUAGGAAUGAAUGGACACAAAUGUUUUACAUUAGAUAUGGAUCAUAACAUGUCUAAUAUCAAUUACAAAUUUUUAGGUGUGAGAACAGUCCUAAUGUGUUUUAAGAAACUGAUGGUUCAUGUUUGGAGUAGAGACUGAAAAAUAAUAGGUAAUAAGAGUAAAACAACAAAAAUCGUGAUACUAAUAACACAUUCAUAGACGCUUAUUUCAAAGCCCUGAAGUCAGUGUACUUUCAGGGAGAAAUGAAAAAUGUUGAGCUGUCUGUACUUUUUUGGUGUGGUGCAACGGCUAGUUAGGGUCACAGAACAAAGAUCUUCAAUGAAUAACAUGAAAGCUUCAGUUUGUACUGACCUUUCCUGAACUCACUGCUGCCUUUUUUUUUUUUUUUUUUUUUUUGACUUUGCUAACAUCUGAGUGUUGGUUAGAUUGAAUAAAGCCAUUAUUUCAUGAGAGAGCACUAAAAAUUACACUAGUUGAGCAUCUAGGACAUGCUAUACUUGGCAAAGAAUCAGUUUGCUAAAAAGAUACUAUGAGAAAUAGUGUCUGUGGUACCAAGUGAUGCUGGAUUUAAACUACAGUGCUAGAAACAUAUGGUUUUUGUCACUGAAAACUAGGAAACAGCUGUUCUUUCAAAUUAUUAUGACAUAUCACUCUUUAAUCUUUUUUGUUUGUGAAGUGUGUUAGUCAUCUUUCCUUUACUGCUGGUCUAGCACAGUUGUAUUUCAAGAAGCUAUAUGUUGGAAAUCAGUUUUAUAGCACCGUGCAAUCAGAAACUUGGCAGUCAGUACUAUUUAAAGUGAUUAAUUAUUGCAAGAGAAAUAGAGUUUUUUCCAUCCCUUGGAGUCUUCAGCUGGAAACAGAGCGGGCCUAGAAAGUCUGAUUUGAGCCCCAUUCCAGGUUAUGUAUGCAGGAUUUGUUGGGUCACACUGUGAUAUGCUUUGUGUAGGAGGAUGGCUUAGGCCACUGACAUCUGGUGAGGUGCUGGAAAACCCUGGAAGGCCGUACAGGAUGAAAGCAGGCUUCUGCAAAAGUCAGUUCUGACUGUGAAGGAAAGGCUUGCCACUAAGAUUGUCCAUGCUGCUGACCUGAUAGGGUCACAAUCUGUGCACCAGAGAUCUCAGAGGCCUCAGGAGCGUGCAGUGCAAUCCCUACAGGGCUGCAUCAGAUCAUCCACCUCCCCAGCUCAGCUGAGCACAUGCCGACACAGUUGUCCACUAGGAGCCUGCUCAUCCCAGCCUGCCUGGCUUCAAGAGGCAUAGAUCUUAAAGCUUCAUGGUGAGAGUGCUGCCCUCAUACUGCACCGUGAUGGCUCCUGCUUUGGCUCGUUUGUCUCCCCAAGCAAAAGGAAAAAGGUCCUUGUGUACCUCCUGCAGCAUGGAGAGGAGAACUGCCUCCAGAGUGGGCUGUAGAAAUGUGCCCAACUUCUGGCACUGCCUUGGGGAAGGGGGGAGAUCCUGACUGAGCCAACACAGUGAUUGUGAUGUGGUGAAGCAACAGUCAGCUCCCUUUUGGCUGUUUCCUGCUUGGUUUGCUGGCUCCAUGGCUACAUGGAACAAUGUUUGUGCAUGGGAGCAGGGACGUGGGCAGCAUCACAAGCAAGCAUCUGCAAAAUUCCUCUGUGAGUUCUGUGUGUUUUCCCACUGCAGCAACCAGACUGAUGUUCAACAGCCAGGUUGGUUCUUCUUCCCCCUGUUCACAAAGAAGUUUUCCUGGAGACCUGCCCUUGAGGCAAGUGUGUCCCUUCUGUUCUGUUCAGCACUAUUUGGGAGCUUCCUAAUUCCCUGAAAGAUGCUCUUAAAUCUUCUCUAGAUUUUUCAGUCACUCCUUGUCCAAUGAAUGUUCUGUCUUGUUCAGACUUGCCUUGUUAAGGUCUUCAGUAAGAUUUUCCUUCUUCAACCAGUCUUAGCAAAUCACCUUGUUUCCAGCUAAACUUCCAUACAUCUAAUUCAUAAAGUUCUUUGCUGGGCCUUGCCUUUGGUUUAUUUUGUUGCCAUUGUAGUGCAAACAACACUCUGGGCAUUCACUGAUUUGCUCAUCAUCAACAAAAUUAGUAAGUAUCCUGCAGUUGGCAGCCAAGUCCCAGUCUGUAGCCAUGCUGCCCAUACUUCUGCAGGAGCAGAAGUGUUGGUGUUGUCAUCAUUGAACUUGCUAGGCCUUACUUGAAAGCUUGUUGGGAACUGUGAUUCUCACAUUGUUUUGUGCUCUGAGCAUGGUUGUGGCUUGUGUGCUGUCACGUAAUGAUGUUUCAGACUUGCAGAUCCAUGUGCAAGCUGUCUUGAUUUCUUAGAGUGUUUUCUACAUAUACUCAUGUCUGCUGUAUCAGAGCAGUCUGCACUCUGUAAACUUUAGUCAAGUCUGGGUGACUUCCUUUGCUUGGCAGAUUCCAGAUGUUUUGCCAAAUUUUAUAUCUGGGUCUUUUCUUAGUCUGCCUCUGAGUAUGCGUGUAUGCGUGUCUUAUAUGCCGAUGAAGAAAUGUUCUCUUAUCAGGGACCUGGUUAGCCAGCUCCCUUCCUCCCUUCUUCAGAAAAAGAAUCCAACUGUCAAAUCUUAGAGCAGUUGCAAACACUUUUGUCUUUUAUCCAUUUUGCUCUCUUGUCUUAAAAACAUCUUGCCCAUAUGUUCUGCAGUACUCUGUGAGUUUCUGCAGACCAUUUCCAUUGAGAGUCUUGGCUAUCUUAAUUGAAGGCUAAUAAAACCUUGAUUUUGUAUCCAACUUUUAUCAGAAAUAAAUUGACUUUCUGCCCAGUAUCCUUCUGUGAGCAAAAAUUGUUUGUAGCUGUGGAGACUGUGCAGGAUUUCUACAAGGUUUGUUUUCUCUGGAAGAGAGUUUACUCAUGCUUUUCUGCAUUCGUGCAGAAUAAUUUUCUGGUUCAGUUCUCCCCCAGUACUGAAUGUUGUCCUGAGAUAAUGCCAAGCCUGGCAUACUGACAAACUGUAAAUGUGAUGUCCAAACUUGUCGACAUUACUCUGCACAAACCUCUGUCAAGCCAAACAUUUCCUUCUGCACAUCUACCAUCACAGACCUACAUGUGCUGUGAACACUCCUUUUUCCCCAGGGCAUUUACUUUCCACGUAUCUUCUCUGUGCCCUGAAGUGGGAUUGAUGAGGAGAAAAGUUAAGAGAGCUUAAUGCACCCUGCAGGCCAAGGCUGUGCAUUCAUCCAGCUGCUUGUGGAGUAUUAAUGGACACUACUACUCAGGCCAAAAAGGGGCAGAUAGAAUCUGUCCUGACAGUUUUUAAAGCUUUGCCACUGCUGCUAAUGACACCCCUGAGAGUUAAUGAAAUAGGUUUUGGAGUUCUGCUAAUACUUGUGAGUGUGAGUGUAUGAGGAGUAUUGCAUGCUCCAAUGGGAAGUUUACUCGGGCACAGUUCCCACUAAGGUCAGCUGGGCUUUCUCCAGAGCAGUCCUUGCCUAAUAGAUCCCUUAGUGGUAAUAAUUAUUGAGUUUGGGGGAUGUAGUUAAAUAUAGGAACACUUUUAAAUUAAAAAAUACACAGGCUCUGCUCUCCUUCUGUCUCCUUCACUCUUUCCUGCAGUAAUUCUAUCAAGUCUCCCAGUCUUUGUUGGUGUAGCUAAGUGCCUCCUAUCAGCACUUGGGAAUCAUAUCUUCUGUUACCACUUGAAACAAUACAUGAAAAAAGCCUCAGAUUUAUACAGUUUAUUUCAAAUACAAAUUUAUGGCUUUAAACUAGUGCACAGCAUGCCACCCAGUGACUCUUGGCGUAUGUUAGCAAAAAAAACAAAAUUAAGGAAAGUUUCUAUUUUCCCUAGACGAGGGUGUAAUGUCAGUGGUUACAAUGUCUGGCUUUUUGCCAGCGGUGUAUGUUCCCCCAUUGUGCUAGCAAUGAGUGUUUUCAAAGCAGGUAGAGAAUCAGAACAUGCUGCUUUGGGGCGUCUCGUGGUCAUCUCAGCUGCAAAUGAGUACCAGUUGUUUCAACUGCGGAGCCAGAAAGGCAGCUGCCUGCAGUAAAAAACUCUGUUUUCUUAAAUGUGGCUUACCACGAAAUUGGCACGCAUUGGCUAUGGCAGCCUGAUCGGCUGAACUUAAACUGUGGCCAUUUUCCUGCUGUGUGUUUCAAGUGUAAGCAGAUCUGUCUUGGGUGCAGCGGAACUACUGAAGUCCAGUUCUGAACAGAUUUGUGUUGUCUGCUUACAUGGCUUUUUAGCUAAAUAAGGCUGUGGCUAUAGUUAGGUGCUGGGUAAUCUAUAAAGAGUGAUGUAGAGAACACCCCAGCCUUGGAAAAGGUCCGUGUAUACUAUGAAACUCUGUAGUGUAGAAGGUCUGCAAACAAAUAUGCAAAUAUUUAUCUCUCUGACAGUUCUUACCCAAGUCAGAGAAAGUGUCCUAUUCUCCAGAGUCCUUUAGCAUGUGCUUAACUCGUGGAAAAAGAGAUUUUAAGGAGAAUUUCUGUAGAGCAAUGUGCACCUCCUAUCAGCUGCUUCCUUGUGGGAAUCAGGCCAUUUAUGUAUACAGUUCCUGACUCUGGGGCAAUUAAAAUCUCAGCCAUAAUGUUAUAUUAACACAGAAUUUGGUGUGCCUAAUGACAUAUUAAAUCUUCCUAAAUUAUAGCUAAAUUACAAAAAGGACUAAUUUACCAAAACCAGUUAAUAAAUGUUUAGAAAAGGAAACUAAUUGAAUUAUCCCUUGUUUGUCAGAGACAGAUAAUCUCCUUGUGAGAAAUCUCAUUUUUUUCUGAAGCAUGAUUAAUUGGCCUGACGAGUCAGAGAUUAUGACAAAUUACACAGGAGGAGAUAAUAAAUAAGUCAGUAGGAAGGCUUGGGAGUGGGGAACUAGCAGCUGUUAUUUAGUCUGAGCCUGAUUCUGGAUUUACCCUGAGUUGUGGAUGCUUUCUUUGGGCCUGCUGAAGACAAGUCUCCCUUAGCUCCUUCCCGUUUCAGAUCAAUGGCAUCCUCAAGGAAGGUGCCUGAAAAACCACAUGCCACUAGGCCAAUAACUAGUUCUUACUUCAUGAAUAAUCAAGGCCAUGAGCUGAGGUUUUUAUUUUUCCUAAGUUACAGUGGAAGACAUCUAUAGUUUACACAGAUGGUGCAGUCAUAUCUUCACCUUGCUCCUGAUAAACUCAACAGAAGAAUUAAAACCAGUUGUAGCCAUGACAAGCUCUGAAUGUGAUACACAUCUAAACCCUUCAGUAAAAUGUACCUUAGGGACUGCUGGUGGCUACAUGAAUUCUCCUGGAAGAGAAGGCUUUGGUACCUGCUCUGGGACUUCCCAGUUUUAGUGAAUGUUGCUGGGAUGCUGUUGUGGCUCAAGUUCCAGUACUGAGCAGAGACAAACCAAGGUGGGACACUCACUGUGCAACAAACUGCAGGCUCUCAGCCCAGCAUGGGCUGGUUGGUCCAGACGCAGACAUUUUGGACACUAAGUCCAAAAAGGGCUUCUGUACUUUGUAUGACAGAAACUUCUAGGGCUUGGUGUGUGUCACUAGGAAGUGACUGCUUCUUCUGUAUCACGCUGGUGUGAGCUUGCCAUUUACUGAGCCUGUGUUUGUAACUGAAAAUUCAAAUAUUUACAAGCAGGCACAAAAUAGCCCUGACAAUUUAAAAGUUCUGUGUUUGGUUGUUUUUUAUAAUUAUUAUUACUAUUAAUUACUAAUAUUUCUAUUGAUUUCCUGGUUUCUGAGCCUUUAUGUCAUAGCAGAAAUCAAAGCUUCCAGCUAUACUCUACAAGCCUCUACAAGAGCACAAUGUAUUUUAACUUAGAGGGGUAUUGGCCACAACCACACACUUUGAAGACCUGAUGUCCCAAGUAAAGUAUCAGAUAGUAUAAAACUUCAAAUUAAACAGUGUCUAUUGGCAGCAAUCUGCUUUCUCUGUUGGUUCUGAAUUGGUUACAACACUGCCUUGAGGUGAUUGCUUGCUCACGUAUUAUGUCUGUUCCUCUGCAAUCACUUUCUGUACCUUCCCAGCACCAGUCAGGUCUCUUAUAAUUAGUUCUCCUUUCUGUCAUCAGUUUGCUUAUCAGAAGCACCUCCCCUGGCAUUCCCAGGCCAAGUCCCUUGACUGUUCUGCCAACCUGCUACUACCCCCAGGACAAAAACCCACCAGUACUGUCCCAUAUAGAGGCCUGAGUAGAGACAGCAAGCCCCUAGAGGCGGAGAGCUGCUGGAGGUACCUGGAGGAUGAGGAUAGGUUCACCAACCAGCCUGCCCAGCAUUGCCAGCUGCUUUGCUCAUCCCAUGAAUAUGCAGUAGCCAUUUCUUCUCAGUAGCUGUUUUCUGCUUUAUAUCCCUUCCAAGGUGGCACCUCUUUUGAAGGGGUCCCCAUGGGUAUCCAUUCAUUCCUUCAAGCCACUCUAAUGACUUUAAAUAUGAGACUGCUUAAAACGUACAGGGGUUGCUCCCAGAGGGGGUGAACUGUCAAUAUUUUAUCACCAUUGGAACAAUUCAGCUAGUUUUAAUCACAGCAGAGUAUCUUUGCAUCUGGUCCCAGUUCUGUGAGUCUUCCCUUGGUGCUGUGGAGUAAUUGAAGAAUAUGAUUAAAGGUAAUUAUUUUAAUUGCUCAUUGACUUAGAAAGAUUUCUGAUAGCAAUAAGUGGAAUCUGAUCUGUAAAGUGAAAGGCUUUAUGGAUUUCCUGCUUGAGGAUAGAGUGCUGCCAGGAGCAGCAUAAGGAAUGCAGAUGAAACAUCACUGGCCUCCCACAGGCACUGCAUGACUUGUAGGAGGGAAUAUUUUUGUACUAAAUGCAGAAUACAAGGGCUGCACGCUGUGCCAGUUUGCCUGUGAAGCUUUUGGGCUUGUUUUUAUUACACACAGCAUUCAACUCCAGAGCAAUACCACUGACUUUGCUGUUAGUGCCCAGUACAGCUGUGAAUGAAGGGAUAGGGAUAUUUGAGGGCUUAAAGCCUGAAAUAUGAGUAUCGAGACCAAUAAUAUUCAAUAAGGUGAAAUACUUAGCACCUAACUAUUCCAAAAGUGGUAUUUUUCUUGGAAGCAGUAGUAAAGAAGAAUGAUGGUCUCAUAAUAAUAAUUAGGUCUCCCACGUUGGACUUGGAAAAUGUCUGUAUUCUCUGCUCUGCUGAGGCUGCAUUGGCCUUUGGCAUAGCACUUUGGCACCUCCAUGUCUCAUUUCCCCUCUCUAUAAAUUGUGAACAUGCCUUCUUAGGAGUAUGGGAAUUGCUUUCACACCGUGGGAGUGGGGACCAUGCAAAUUCAUUAAUGUACUGACAGUGAGGGUAAAGGCCUCUAUUUUUUUAGUAUAUGUAUUUUCUAUGGUAUCCACCACUUCUGACCAUGGAAAAUACAUCUGGAGAUAUCAGACUCAACAGCAUCUCUUUGGGCUUAGUGAUGCUAAGCAGAAGCAUGCUGGAGGCCAGUAGCAUUUCCUAGGAAAGCAGAGGCAUGUGUUUGCAGGGCUUAGACUUUGUGCAGGCGUUUGUUACAAGCCAUUGUGGCAAAGAGGCUGUUGGAGAAGGUGAACUUUUAUUCUGACCUAGGAUGGCUAUUCUAAUACCUCUGGAUCAUUGAUUGUGAUAUUCAUAAGUUUGGAGCUUCUACCAGAAUUAUUUGUUUCUUCUUAGAAUGAGAGGUAAUGGCCUUAAGUUGUGGCAAGGGAAGUUCAGGUUGAAUAUUAGGAAAAA